GCAGGUGUAGUUUAAUGGUAAAACUUUUGCUUGCCAUGCAAAGAAUGGGGGUUCGAUUCCCCUCGCUUGCUCCA
rnacentral:tRNA from 1 species